rnacentral:rRNA from 1 species
CAUGCUGUAAACUAUGAAGACUGGCUGUUGGGUGCCCUUGGGCACUUAGUAGCGAAGCUAACGCGUUAAGUUUUCCGCCUGGGGAGUACGGCCGCAAGGUUAAAACUCAAAGGAAUUGACGGGGGCCCGCACAAGCGGUGGAACAUGUGGUUUAAUUCGACGCAACGCGAAGAACCUUACCUACCCUUGACAUGCUCGGAAUCUGCCAGAGAUGGUGGAGUGCCUUCGGGAGCCGAGACACAGGUGC